ACCUGGGGAAACCCAGGCUAAUACCGCAUACGUCCUACGGGAGAAAGGGGGCUCCGGCUCCCGCUAUGGGAUGAGCCUAUGUCGGAUUAGCUAGUUGGUGAGGUAACGGCUCACCAAGGCCACGAUCCGUAGCUGGUCUGAGAGGAUGAUCAGCCACAUCGGGACUGAGACACGGCCCGAACUCCUACGGGAGGCAGCAGUGGGGAAUAUUGGACAAUGGGGGCAACCCUGAUCCAGCCAUGCCGCGUGUGUGAAGAAGGCCCUCGGGUUGUAAAGCACUUUCAGCGAGGAAGAACGCCUAGCGGUUAAUACCCGCUAGGAAAGACAUCACUCGCAGAAGAAGCACCGGCUAACUCCGUGCCAGCAGCCGCGGUAAUACGGAGGGUGCAAGCGUUAAUCGGAAUUACUGGGCGUACAGCGCGCGUAGGUGGCUUGAUAAGCCGGUUGUGAAAGCCCCGGGCUCAACCUGGGAACGGCAUCCGGAACUGUCAAGCUAGAGUGCAGGAGAGGAAGGUAGAAUUCCCGGUGUAGCGGUGAAAUGCGUAGAGAUCGGGAGGAAUACCAGUGGCGAAGGCGGCCUUCUGGACUGACACUGACACUGAGGUGCGAAAGCGUGGGUAGCAAACAGGAUUAGAUACCCUGGUAGUCCACGCCGUAAACGAUGUCGACCAGCCGUUGGGUGCCUAGCGCACUUUGUGGCGAAGUUAACGCGAUAAGUCGACCGCCUGGGGAGUACGGCCGCAAGGUUAAAACUCAAAUGAAUUGACGGGGGCCCGCACAAGCGGUGGAGCAUGUGGUUUAAUUCGAUGCAACGCGAAGAACCUUACCUACUCUUGACAUCCUGCGAAUUUGGUAGAGAUACCUUAGUGCCUUCGGGAACGCAGAGACAGGUGCUGCAUGGCUGUCGUCAGCUCGUGUUGUGAAAUGUUGGGUUAAGUCCCGUAACGAGCGCAACCCUUGUCCUUAUUUGCCAGCGCGUGAUGGCGGGAACUCUAAGGAGACUGCCGGUGACAAACCGGAGGAAGGUGGGGACGACGUCAAGUCAUCAUGGCCCUUACGAGUAGGGCUACACACGUGCUACAAUGGUCGGUACAAAGGGUUGCCAACUCGCGAGAGUGAGCCGAUCCCGAAAAGCCGAUCUCAGUCCGGAUCGGAGUCUGCAACUCGACUCCGUGAAGUCGGAAUCGCUAGUAAUCGUGGAUCAGAAUGCCACGGUGAAUACGUUCCCGGGCCUUGUACACACCGCCCGUCACACC
rnacentral:rRNA from 1 species